GACGAACGCUGGCGGCGUGCUUAACACAUGCAAGUCGAACGAAGUGGCGAACGGGUGAGUAACGCGUAAUCAACCUGCCCUUCAGAGGGGGACAACAGUUGGAAACGACUGCUAAUACCGCAUACUGAAGGAGGGGAUUGCGUCUGAUUAGCUAGUUGGAGGGGUAACGGCCCACCAAGGCGAUGAUCAGUAGCCGGCCUGAGAGGGUGACCGGCCACAUUGGGACUGAGAUACGGCCCAGACUCCUACGGGAGGCAGCAGUGGGGGAUAUUGCACAAUGGGCGAAAGCCUGAUGCAGCGACGCCGCGUGAGUGAAGAAGGUUUUCGGAUCGUAAAGCUCUGUUGUUAAGGAAGCGGUACUUAACCAGAAAGGGACGGCUAACUACGUGCCAGCAGCCGCGGUAAUAC
rnacentral:rRNA from 1 species